rnacentral:rRNA from 1 species
AGGGUGUAAACGCUGCAGACUUGGUGUUGGAAGCCCUUUGGGGGCAUUCAGUGCCGGAGAGAAGUUGUUAAGUCUGCUACUUGGGAGUACGUCCGCAAGGAGGAAACUUAAAGGAAUUGGCGGGGGAGCACCGCAACGGGAGGAGCGUGCGGUUUAAUUGGAUUCAACACCGUAAAACUCACCAGGGAAGACUGUUACAUGAAGGCCGAGAUGAAGACUCUGCUAGAUUUCAGAGAGGAGGUGCAUGGCGUCAGUGACU